CCUUCGCCCAAAUAAUCGCCACGAAGCUACACACAGAGAAGAGAACUGUUCUCUUUCUCACUAUUCGCUUUGGGAGAAAGUCCCCGGACAAGCUUGCUGCUUGCAGUCAGGCCUGCGGAAACGCGCUCCCCUCAGAAGGAGCUUACCUCUGCACUUCCUCCGCUCUCUGCUUCCUCGCCCGCCGUACCGUUCGUACUCCCCAUCUAUCACUCCUUCGUAGGGCUCAGCCUCAGCCUGGAGACCAUAUGGACGAUGAUAUGAGUCCGAGCUCCAUCGGUUGGGCGAGUUUCGCACACGAAGUUGCGAUCUGGACGGUGGAGGAGGUCGAUGGGACAUGUUGCUGGUAGCAAGAGUGGGCUCAUAGGGCGCUCAGAGGAUGCUUUCGUCGAUGUUGUAUGGUUAUGCGAUUGCCUUGCUCUUGUGGUUCGAAAGAUCGACAGGAAGACAGGUAACUCGAUGGGGCUUACUCUUGGUGCGAAG
rnacentral:RNase_MRP_RNA from 2 species